CAAGGAAUAGUUUAUGUAGAAUUUCAGCUUUGGGUGUUGAAGGUGGAGUAUGAUGCUUCUUCCUUGA
rnacentral:tRNA from 1 species